rnacentral:lncRNA from 1 species
UGCCACUGACAAGAACUUUUAUUUCUUUUUAAUGACAUUAAACACAACUGCUACAAGGGAAAAAACAUAGUAGAGGAGGCACCAAACUUCAGUUUCAUAAUUGAUCCUGACAACAAUGCAAGUAAAUCAGGGUCUGUAUUAGAUGUAAAAAAUAUAGGUUAUAUCAGGUGCCUUUAUUACAAAUAAACUAUUUACACAGCACAUUUUACUGUUUUGUCAAGACCCCAUGGUAAGAAUGUCAUUAUGAAUGAAGAAAGCUAGGUAGGAAGUUAAAUGCACAAAACCCUUACUCAAAUUUAAAAAUACAGUUAAAUUCCACCUGAAAUACUAGACAUAGAGGCCCACACCAAAUGUGAGAUAGGCAGCUUUGAAAAGAGGUUAAAACUCCAGAUUCUACCCACUACCAUCUUUAAGGCAAACAUGCCAGAUAAUGAGUUUUCUUUGGCUUUGUUUUUUCUUCUUGAAGAAUACCAUGUUAACCACUAGAGAACAGUUUUCUCCUUCCCCAGUUCAACAGAUUUAAUUAAGCUGCUAAAGCUUUAGAAAAACAGAAUUAUUUGAGCUAACAGGAAAUGUGAUUGUCACAUUGUCUAGUUAACCUGUCACUCAUUUGAUUUGGCAAAGGCAAUCCUCCCAUUACACAUUCCGUUUAAACCUUCCUGUACCAGGAAGGCGGGAACCUGAGUCAUAGAUCUUUGCUGAAGCAAAAUGUCCCUUCACUCCUUGGAUUAUCUGUGAGGAAUUAGACAGCUGUAAUGCUAGCUAUUCCGGCUACAUUUAAUUUUAACUAUGUUUUGGUCCCAAAGGUGGGUGUCUGGCAUGUCUCACUCCAUCAGGCUAAUUUAGGGCAGCCUGGAGAAGUGACCAAUGAAGUAAAUGCCAGUUAUGCCAACUGAAAGAACAGAUUUUGACUACUGCCUUCAAAUGGAAUUUUCCAUUACAUUCUAGUUCAGAAUCUAAACAAAAUGUCCAAGGAAAAGAGAAUCCUUGGAUAAAAACAUUAAACACUUAGAGGCAUGUAUCCAAAUUUAUUGGAGGCUUGAAUGACCAAACUUUUCUCAAGUAGGGUAUAAUGCUUAAAACGGGUUACUCACAUACAAAGAUGGGGCUGAUGAAAUGACAAAACCAGGUAGAGGCUACAACAACUAUGAACAACUUUCACAGAGGGUAAAUAGCAGCAGCAUGAAUGCCAGACUGCAAAACUUCCAAAAAUGAUGUCUAAAACUGUAUGUAAAGAGAAGUACAACCUCUUAAGACAUCCAUUAAGACAGGUGCACAGUCUGUCAGCUUUGGUUAGAAUAUCAAACCUCAAGAUCAGGUAAUGCUUUUGUGGACAGACUCAAUCACAAUAUUAUCAGACCCACUCAAGCAGUUAUGUGAAAUUAGGCAUCAGGGGUCUGAUGACCCCCUGAUGAGGAGAUAGUAACAUCAAGAGUCUAAAGACACCUGUUAACCAAUAAUGGAGAUAAAGAGUGCCUCUCCAAGGUCUCUCCUAGAGGUUAGAAGCUCCCUGACUAACACUCUCACUUAAAAGUUAAGCUUCAUCAGAUGAAACUGAAGACCAAUAUCUCAAUGGCACCGGGCUAUCAUCAAGUCAAGAGUCUGGGUGGGCAGCUCUUCAAUAAGAGAGCAAAGAGCCCAUUCUAAAGAGGCAUAUCCAUGUCUAACAACAUACAGGAAUACUGCCUAUAGAUUCCCAGGGAACAGAGUGGUCACUGUGGGUGUGGAUGGGGGAGAAAAAAAAAAAAAAAAAAAAAAGGAAAAUUCUUGAAGAAGGGCAGAAACAACUGUCACAAGACCACAACGUAUUCAACAGGGGUUGGUCAGCAGUAUUCUGUCAGAAUUAAGAUGUGUAAGAUCUGUAAACACUAUGUGCAAAAUAAGUUUAACAGAGAAUGAAGAAAAGCCAAAGAUGAUAAUAAAAAUAGGGCCGGAGAUGUCCUUCAGGUGGUAUAAUGCUUGCCUAGCAUGCAUGAAGCCCUGCAAUCAAUCCCCAAUACCUGGGGAGAGAGCAGGAAAAAAAAAAUAUCAUAGUAAUUUAUAAGUAUAGAAAGUAGAGGGUUUACAUUUUUUUUUGGUACCAGUGAUCAAACUCCAGACCUUGCACUUUCAAGGCAGGUGGUGGCACCACUGAAAUAAAUCCCUGGCCCUACAUUUUAAAUUUAUCCUUUCAACACGAUUUUUCUCCUACUCCAUCUUACUUUAAAUACCUGGACUACCAACUUUAAAAUACUGACAGGUAGUCAGAGAUUCAAAUUUAAAAGAGGGUUUGGUAAAAGUGACUUAUAUCCACUCACAAGUCAUCAUGAUAAUUAACAUUUGCUUAUAGCUUGGUAAAGAAUCUCUUGUUUUUGGUUUGUUUUUUUUUUUUUUGGUACGGGGGAUUGAACUUGGGAUCUU